ensembl:lncRNA
AGCAGUCCAGCAGAUGAAGACCCAGGUGCCGUGGAAUUUGCAACGGGCACAGCACAGGGCAGCUGCAGCAAGCCUGGUGGCGCUGGUGGCCAGGAUGACCCUAGAGACCCAGCUUGCCCUGGUUACGCCGUGAGUCGUAGAGUUCAUGGAGGCGCUCGUGUCCUGGCUGGUCCCAGAAGCCCCAGCGCUGCAGGAGAGUCAGGUGGCGCAGCCGGCGCCAUUCCGCAGAUCCCGGGGCCAUCACACGCUCCAGGGCCUGGUGAAGGCGCUGCACCUGGAGCUGCAGUUCUGAGUAACCGAAUCCUCCAGUUAAGCCUCAGUGUGCCUUUCUCAUCACACGCGGAAGCGGACCUUGCCCGCCACUUCCUGACUACACGUACUCAGUUGCGAGGGCGGAUUCGGAAGGAGCUCUACGUUAAUGGCCG